GCCGGGCGCGGUGGCUCACGCCUGUAAUCCCAGCACUUUGGGAGGCCGAGGCGGGUGGAUCACCAGAGGUCGGGAGUUCAAGACUAGCCUGACCAACAUAGUGAAAACCUGUCUCUA
ensembl:misc_RNA Metazoa_SRP Metazoan signal recognition particle RNA